UCAGAAUGCUUCUGCUCUACAUGUCACAGUGCAAAGAGGUCAGUCACUGAUCGCGGCUGCAGCUGUGGGAGUGGCUGCCAUUUUGGCUCUUGUGUUUCUGGGUGUUGUGUGCGUGAGGAGGAGAAAAUCAACAAAUGAGACA